GAAUUUAAAAAUCGUGAGGGUUCAAGUCCCUCUAUCCCCA
rnacentral:tRNA from 4 species